GACGAAUGCUGGCGGCGUGCUUAACACAUGCAAGUCGAACGGAAAGGCCCUGCUUGCAGGGUACUCGAGUGGCGAACGGGUGAGUAACACGUGGGUGAUCUGCCCUGCACUUCGGGAUAAGCCUGGGAAACUGGGUCUAAUACCGGAUAGGAGCCAUUUUUAGUGUGAUGGUUGGAAAGUUUUUUCGGUGUAGGAUGAGCUCGCUGCCUAUCAGCUUGUUGGUGGGGUAAUGGCCUACCAAGGCGGCGACGGGUAGCCGGCCUGAGAGGGUGGACGGCCACAUUGGGACUGAGAUACGGCCCAGACUCCUACGGGAGGCAGCAGUGGGGAAUAUUGCACAAUGGGCGCAAGCCUGAUGCAGCGACGCCGCGUGGGGGAUGACGGCCUUCGGGUUGUAAACUCCUUUCGCUAGGGACGAAGCUUUUGUGACGGUACCUAGAUAAGAAGCACCGGCUAACUACGUG
rnacentral:rRNA from 1 species